GUCAGUGCAUCUACUAUCUACAUGAAUGUGGUUGGUAAUCUACUGUCUACAUGAUAUUAAUAAUCUGUGCUUAAAUUCUUUCCUUUCUGUGUUUCCUAAUCUUAGGACCACAGUCAUAAUAAUGUGCUGUUUGACAAGAAUAAUUUUGUAUUCUGAUAUAAAACAAAAUUCCUAAUAACCACUUUAAUCAACUCUGGUUUGUUUUCUCUAUUGAUUCAAAGCAUGAAAAAAUAUUCUUGUUAUUAAAUAGAUCUCUUUCACUGUACCUUUGCUUCUAGUUGCAAUGUCACUCAAAAAAAAAUAUUUAAAGCAGGAGCUAUUUUGAUUUAAUAAAUAUUUACUAAGUAUUCAUUACAUGAACACGGUUUAAAGGGACAGGAAAGACCUGUCACCAAUAAUUAUCAUGCAUUGGAAUUUAGGCAAAGAUUAAUGUUGUACAUGUCAGAGAAAUAGAGUACUAAUUUGCCUGGGAGCUACAUCAGAUAGGGCAUAGGUUUUGGAGAACAUAAUCACUACAAAUGUAUCUGGAAGAUGAAUUGUUUAUCAGAUGUAAAAAAGGGGAAGAGAAUUGAAGGAAGAGGGAACAGUAUAUGAGAAGGCACAGAGGCAAGAAUAGCAUUGUAUAUUCAGGAAACAAACUAGUUCAGUAUUGUCCCGUCCUUGGAUGCAAUGUCAUAAGAGGCUACAUUUGUCAUCAGAAAGGAUUUAUACUUCCCUGUAGACAAUGGAGGAGUGAUUAAAAAAAUGGAUAUGGAUGGACCAUUGUGGUGAAGGAUU
rnacentral:lncRNA from 1 species